rnacentral:rRNA from 1 species
GACGAACGCUGGCGGCGUGCUUAACACAUGCAAGUCGAACGGUAAGGCCCCAGCUUGCUGGGGUUCACGAGUGGCGAACGGGUGAGUAACACGUGGGUGACCUGCCCCGCACUUCGGGAUAAGCCUGGGUAACUGGGUCUAAUACCGGAUAGGACCGCACCGUGAGGGUGUGGUGGAAAGUUUUUCGGUCUGGGAUGGGCCCGCGGCCUAUCAUCUUGUUGGUUGGGUAAUGGCCUACCAAGCCGGCGACGGGUAGCCGGCAUGAGAGGGUGGACGGCCACCUGGGGACUGCGACACGCACCAGAGUGCAACGGUAGGCAGCAGUGGGGAGUAUUGCACAGUGGGCGGGAGCCUGAUGCAGCGACGCCGGGUUGGGGAUGACGGCCUUCGGGUUGUGAACACCUUUCACCAAAGACGAAGGUUUUCUGACGGUAGAUGGAGAAGAAGCACCGGCUAACUACGUG